CCAGCAAUGCCGCGUGCAGGAAGAAGGCCUUCGGGUUGUAAACUGCUUUUGUACGGAACGAAACGGUCUGGGUUAAUACCCUGGGCUAAUGACGGUACCGUAAGGAUAAGCACCGGCUAACUACGUGCCAGCAGCCGCGGUAAUACGUAGGGUGCAAGCGUUAAUCGGAUUACUGGGCGUAAAGCGUGCGCAGGCGGUUUUGUAAGACAGGCGUGAAAUCCCCGGGCUCAACCUGGGAAUUGCGCUUGUGACUGCAAGGCUGGAGUGCGGCAGAGGGGGAUGGAAUUCCGCGUGUAGCAGUGAAAUGCGUAGAUAUGCGGAGGAACACCGAUGGCGAAGCGAAUCCCCUGAGCCUGCACUGACGCUCAUGCACGAAAGCGUGGGGAGCAAACAGGAUUAGAUACCCUGGUAGA
rnacentral:rRNA from 1 species